rnacentral:rRNA from 1 species
AUUGAACGCUGGCGGCAGGCUUAACACAUGCAAGUCGAACGGUAACAUGAAGAAGCUUGCUUCUUUGAUGACGAGUGGCGGACGGGUGAGUAAUGCUUGGGAAUCUAGCUUAUGGAGGGGGAUAACUACGGGAAACUGUAGCUAAUACCGCGUAGAAUCGAGAGAUGAAAGUGUGGGACCUUCGGGCCACAUGCCAUAGGAUGAGCCCAAGUGGGAUUAGGUAGUUGGUGAGGUAAAGGCUCACCAAGCCGACGAUCUCUAGCUGGUCUGAGAGGAUGACCAGCCACACUGGGACUGAGACACGGCCCAGACUCCUACGGGAGGCAGCAGUGGGGAAUAUUGCUGCAAUGGGGGCAACCCUGACGCAGCCAUGCCGCGUGAAUGAAGAAGGCCUUCGGGUUGUAAAGUUCUUUCGGUAGCGAGGAAGGCAUUUAGUUUAAUAGACUAGGUGGGGACGUAACUACAGAA